rnacentral:tRNA from 1 species
AUUAAGGUGGCAGAGUCGAUACAUGCAAAAGGCCUAAGCCCUUUACACAGGGGUUCAACUCCCCUCCUUAACA